rnacentral:rRNA from 1 species
GAUGAACGCUGGCGGCGUGCCUAAUACAUGCAAGUCGAGCGAACGGACGAGAAGCUUGCUUCUCUGAUGUUAGCGGCGGACGGGUGAGUAACACGUGGAUAACCUACCUAUAAGACUGGGAUAACUUCGGGAAACCGGAGCUAAUACCGGAUAAUAUUUUGAACCGCAUGGUUCAAAAGUGAAAGACGGUCUUGCUGUCACUUAUAGAUGGAUCCGCGCUGCAUUAGCUAGUUGGUAAGGUAACGGCUUACCAAGGCAACGAUGCAUAGCCGACCUGAGCGGGUGAUCGGCCACGCUGGAACUGAGACACGGUCCAGACUCCUAAGGGAGGCAGCAGUAGGGAUGCUUCCGCAGUGGGCGAAAGCCUGACGGAGCAACGCCGCGUGAGUGAUGAAGGUCUUCGGAUCGUAAAACUCUGUUAUUAGGGAAGAAAAUAUGUGUAAGUAACUGUGCACAUCUUGACGGUACCUAAUCAGAAAGCCACGGCUAACUACGU